AGAGUUUGAUCCUGGCUCAGGAUGAACGCUGGCGGCGUGCUUAACACAUGCAAGUCGAGGGACACCGCCGAGCGAAUUUCGCUUUGAUCCACCGGCGACCAGUGCACGGGUGACUGACGCAGUCUGCCACCUGCCCUCUGCCCAGGGACGGGGGAGAAAAAUUCCGACCAGUACGCUCAAUAACACAUAGCACUGCACCGGAGUGGAUCGGUGUGGUCCUGGGAGCAAUCCUCCAGAGGAUGGGCAUGCGGCCGCAUUAGGAUAAUUGGGGGUGUGAGCGGACCACGCCCCCAACAAUGCGUUCGGGUUCCGACAUGAAAGGCCCCCACACUGCUUCGGAGACUCAGACCAGACCUCCUACCCGCACGGGAGGCGAGGAGGGGAGUCAGGGGCGAGAGGCUGAACCGAUCCAGCCACGCGAGCGGAAGACGAGCCAUAAGGGUUGUAAACGUCCUUUGUCGGGGAGCAAAGAAAGCGUACGUGUAGAAUAAUGAGAGUACCUGAAGAAAAAGCAUCGGCUAACUCCGUGCCAGCAGCCGCGGUAAUACGGAGGAGGCAAGCGUUAUCCGGAUUUAUUGGGUUUAAAGGGUGCGCAGGCGGAACGGAAAGUCAGGGGUAAAAUCCCGGGGCUCAACCCCGUGGAGCCGUUGAAACUGUCGUUUUUGGAGUGGGGGAAGAAGUAAACGGAAUUCCUGGUGUAGGCGGUGAAAAUGCACAGAAUAUCAGGAAGAACUCCGCUGGCGAAGGCGGCAUACCGGCGCGCGACUGACGCUCAGGCACGAAAGCGUGGGUGUGCAACAGGAUUAGAUACCCUGGUAGUCCACGCCGUAAACGAUGAAUACCAAUUGUUGGGGUGGAAGGAGGCCUGGGUGAUCCAGCAAAAGAGUUAGUAAUUCCACUUGGGGAGUAGUUCGCCAGAGGGGAAAUUCAAAGGAAUUAAGGGGGGCCGCCCCAGGCGGAGGGCCAGGUGUUUUAUUUGAGAGCGAUACGAGAGGACCUUUACCGGCGUUCACAAUCGACCCGGGAGCAUGUUGGAAAGCAGGUAGCCAUCAAGGCGCCAGUGUAGAGGUGGUGCAUGGUUGUCGUCAGCUCGUGUCGGGAGGUGUGGGUUUAAUUCCCAUAAGGAGGGCAACCCUGUUCUUCAGAUGCUGCGAGGUGAACCGGAGCGACUCUGGGGAGACUGCCGGGGACAAGCCCGGAGGAAGGCGGGGAUGACGUCAAAUCAUCACGCCCCUUAUGUCCGGGGCGACACACGUGUUACAAUGGCGCGGUACAGAGGGGAAGCCACCUGGCGACAGGGAGAGGCCCCGAAAACGUGUCUCCGUUUGGGUUGGCGUCUGCAAAUCGGGUCCAUGAAAUCGGAUUUGGUAGUAAUUGCGCAUCAACCACGGCGCGGUGAAUACGUUCCCGGGCCUUGCACUCACCGCCCGUCAAG
rnacentral:rRNA from 1 species